UACGAAGGGGACUAGCGUUGUUCGGAAUCACUGGGCGUAAAGCGCACGUAGGCGGAUGUGUCAGUCAGGGGUGAAAUCCCGGGGCUCAACCUCGGAACUGCCUUUGAUACAGCACGUCUCGAGUCCGGAAGAGGUGGGUGGAACUGCGAGUGUAGAGGUGAAAUUCGUAGAUAUUCGCAAGAACACCAGUGGCGAAGGCGGCUCACUGGCCCGGUACUGACGCUGAGGCGCGAAAGCGUGGGGAGCGAACAGG
rnacentral:rRNA from 1 species